UACGUAGGGGGCAAGCGUUGUUCGGAAUUACUGGGCGUAAAGGGCGCGUAGGCGGCACGGCAAGUCAGGAGUGAACGGCCUGGGCUCAACCGAGGAACUGCUUUUGAGACUGCCGAGCUAGAGUGCGGAAGGGGCAACCGGAAUUCCCAGUGUAGCGGUGAAAUGCGUAGAUAUUGGGAAGAACACCUGAGGCGAAGGCGGGUUGCUGGGCCGACACUGACGCUGAGGCGCGAAAGCCAGGGGAGCAAACGGG
rnacentral:rRNA from 1 species